AUUGAACGCUGGCGGCAUGCCUUACACAUGCAAGUCGAACGGUAACGGGUCCUUCGGGAUGCCGACGAGUGGCGAACGGGUGAGUAAUAUAUCGGAACGUGCCCAGUAGUGGGGGAUAACUGCUCGAAAGAGCAGCUAAUACCGCAUACGACCUGAGGGUGAAAGGGGGGGAUCGCAAGACCUCUCGCUAUUGGAGCGGCCGAUAUCAGAUUAGCUAGUUGGUGGGGUAAAGGCCUACCAAGGCAACGAUCUGUAGUUGGUCUGAGAGGACGACCGGCGACACUGGGACUGAGACACGGCCGAGACUCCUACGGGAGGCAGCAGUGGGGAAUUUUGGACAAUGGGCGCAAGCCUGAUCCAGCAAUGCCGCGUGCAGGAAGAAGGCCUUCGGGUUGUAAACUGCUUUUGUCAGGGAAGAAAUCUUCUGGGCUAAUACCCCGGGAGGAUGACGGUACCUGAAGAAUAAGCACCGGCUAACUUCGUGCCAGCCGCCGCUAUAA
rnacentral:rRNA from 1 species